rnacentral:rRNA from 1 species
GACGAGCCACACGAACGUUAUUCGGAAUUACUGGGCUUAAAGGGUGCGUAGGCGGUGCGGAAAGUUGGGUGUGAAAUCCCUCGGCUCAACCGAGGAACUGCGCUCAAAACUACCGUACUUGAGGAAGAUAGAGGUGAGCGGAACUUACGGUGGAGCGGUGAAAUGCGUUGAUAUCGUAAGGAACACCCGUGGCGAAAGCGGCUCACUGGGUCUUUUCUGACGCUGAUGCACGAAAGCUAGAGGAGCAAACGGG